ACGAGUUGUCUGAGUCUCAGAGACCAGUGCGAAGCUUUAGAGACCAUAGGUCCGUUUGGGAGCAGUGAAGUUCCAUUUGUUCAAGAUGUGAAACUCAAGACUUCCUUAGCAGUGUCUACUUUAGAAAUAAGGCAAUGACAAUUAAAUCCAAAAUCAGGAUUUUGUGGUGUUAUAGCUGCCAAAUGAAAAACUCAGAGAUCGUGCUCAUAUGAGUUAGAACAAUAUGCAUUCAACUGAGCCCGAUUCCAAGACAUGACGGUACGGAUGGUGUGGUCACGGAAAGAAAUCUCUGACAUGCCAUUCAUCUAAGUAAACGUCCAACAAAUUGUAUGUUCUGUUAUAGAGGCAUG
rnacentral:lncRNA from 7 species